rnacentral:tRNA from 1 species
GCGCCCGUAGCUCAACUGGAUAGAGCAUCUGACUACGGAUCAGAAGGUUGGGGGUUCGAGUCCCUCCGGGCGCGCCA